rnacentral:rRNA from 1 species
CCAGCAGCCGCGGUAAUACGGAGGAUGCGAGCGUUAUCCGGAUUUAUUGGGUUUAAAGGGUGCGUAGGCGGCCUGUUAAGUCAGCGGUGAAAUSUAGGAGCUUAACUCCUAAAUUGCCAUUGAUACUGGCGGGCUUGAGUGUAGAUGAGGUAGGCGGAAUGCGUGGUGUAGCGGUGGAAUGCAUAGAUAUCACGCAGAACUCCGAUUGCGAAGGCAGCUUACUAAGGUACAACUGACACUGAAGCACGAAAGCGUGGGUAUCAAACAGGAUUAGAUACCCUGGUAGUCCACGCAGUAAACGAUGAUAACUGGGCGUAUGCGAUAUACAGUAUGCUCCUAAGCGAAAGCGUUAAGUUAUCCACCUGGGGAGUACGUUCGCAAGAAUGAAACUCAAAGGAAUUGACGGGGGCCCGCACAAGCGGAGGAACAUGUGGUUUAAUUCGAUGAUACGCGAGGAACCUUACCCGGGCUUGAAAUGC